rnacentral:misc_RNA from 1 species
GGUACAUCUUGGCAAUAAUUGGAUUGCAGAUGCUCUCCAACUCCUUCAUCUUGUCUUCAAAUUCAUCAGACUCAGCAAGCUGGUUGGCAUCGAGCCACUGGAUGGCCUGCUCAAUGGCCUCCUCAAUCUUCUUCCUGUCUGCCUCAGGCAGCUUGGAUGCAAUCUUCUCAUCCUUGAUGGUGUUCCUCAUGUUGUAUGCAUAGUUCUCCAAAGCAUUCUUUGCCUCUACCUUCUUCUUGUGGUCUUCGUCCUCAGACUUGUACUUCUCUGCUUCUUGAACCAUCUUCUCAAUCUCCUCCUUGGAGAGUCUACCCUUGUCGUUGGUGAUGGUGAUCUUGUUCUUUUGUCCAGUAGUCUUGUCCUCAGCAGAAACAUUCAAGAUACCAUUGGCAUCAACUUCGAAUGUGACCUCAAUUUGGGGGGUUCCCCUUGGAGCUGGAGGAAUUCCUGUAAGAUCAAACUUCCCGAGAUUCCUACAGUCCUUGGUAAGACUCCUUUCACCUUCAAAAACCUGAAUGGAGACAGUGGUCUGCUGGUCUUGGUAAGUGGUGAAGACCUGGGACUUCUUGGUUGGGAUAACGGUAUUUCUGGGGAUCAAUUUGGUCAUCACACCACCAACGGUUUCAAUACCAAGGGUGAGAGGAGCGACAUCCAGGAGAAGGAUAUCUUUAGUUUCAUCUCCACCCUCACCACUGAGGAUACCACCUUGAACAGCAGCACCAUAA